rnacentral:rRNA from 1 species
UUAGUUGGUGGAGUGAUUUGUCUGGUUAAUUCCGUUAACGAACGAGACCUCGACCUGCUAAAUAGUAGACGUGAUUUCUAAUCGCGAUGUACUUCUUAGAGGGACUCUCGGUGUGUAGCCGAUGGAAGUUCGAGGCAAUAACAGGUCU